UUAUAGUAUUAGAAUGGCACCCAAUACAUAGUUUGGAAUUUUUUAAAAUGUCAGCUAUUAUGAUGAUAACAAUGGUGGCUUACAAGACCUUUGACCAUCUGGCUUCCCUCUCCAAGCAUGCCAAAUUAAUCACACUUCUUAAACACAUCUCUUGACCGGGGUGUUCUCACCAUGCCCUUUCUACAAACAAAAAGUCCUACAAGAGUUGGAGCCAUCCUCUCCUCAUCUUCUACUUUCUGCCUUCUUCUGGGACACGCUAUUGAUCACGAAGUAUCUUAUCCUUGAAAAAUCUCCUCUCUUCAACUCGAGUACUACUGCAGAAAGCAGCAACUUGGCGGCCUUUUAUGGAUGGGUGUUACUGAAGAAGGCAAUGUAUCGCAUCCUGUAUUACCUUCCCCUGACCUCAUAGCUUCCCAAAACAGGAACAAUCAUGGGCUUUGAAGAAUGAAGAUGUGGAGACCUGGAGACAGGUGGCACCUCGUGCUUCCUCCGAAGGGAGAGCCCAUUUCCUAACAGCUGGAUCAAAGGCAUGAAAUGAACAUGGAGUCCCUGAAGAUGAAGAGAAGGCAUGGCUUCCAGGGAGAAAUUGUACAUUACAGGAAUGCAGAUGUGAUUCCUAUGGAUGAGGGUAACCUAGAGGCUAGAAGAACAAUAGGACAGAAGAAGCCUGGGUCCCUGAACAA
rnacentral:lncRNA from 1 species